CUCGGCAUGGGAUAAGCAUCAAAUUCCGAAAUGACAAUCAACUUACGGAAGUCAUUACAGAAUCGUACUGUACCAUCUGGUUUCAACACCAGGUCUAUUGGGCUGGACCACGCACUGUGUGACUCUUCAAUGACUUCCAGCUCCAACAAAUUCCCCACUUCUUUUAUUGCAGCUCUCUUCGCUUCUGGCACCCGAUGGUCUCUGUGCCUCUCUCCCAGCUUCAUGUCUCCCUAAUCCUUAAUCCUGUGGAAAUCGGUCGAGGCAGAACGGGGCAGCUUUGAUCAAGCUUUCAUAUCAGACGAGGUAACAGUGUCGGCUCCCCCGGAUCCCACAGAACCCUGGAUCCCAGCAGUACGGAGUGGAGCUGAGGAGCUCCAAGCAAGAGUACACCCAGCCUGCCCUGGGAGACAGGGACACAGACAGGCUCGCCGCCAGCCUGCACUGCCACCUCAGCUACAGCAUCAGGUCACCAGCCUCUCCAUUUCAAAACAUUGCAUCAUCACAACGGAAGUAGCAUCAGUGAUAACUGAGUAACCAUGCAGUAUCAUUUCGUUAUGUGAUAUCUGCAUUGUUGUUCCACUUAAGGCAAGCAGAGGCUUUGUUUUGGAACAUGAUCUUCCGUCAACAGACAAUGUGACUAAUAUUUUUAUGGGUCUUGUAAAACGUCCAUUGUUGUUGUCGAUCCCAUCCCUGAGAAUGUGUUUCGCAUCUCGGCACUGGUGUCUGGCAUUGUGUGGUACAGCCAAGGAUAAUACCCGCUACUCGCCAUGUGGCAGGGAUGUCACAACACCUGCUCGGUAAGGUGGCACAAAUGUGGCACGAACAGGAAAGCUAGACUCCUUUUAAAGGACAUCGACCAGAGAAGGGUCCAGACACGGCUUCCCCCGACACCCACAUGGUCUCAGACUCCAGUCCUUAUCAUAACCACAUACCAUUACUAUGGAAAAGAAAACUAAUCUCCCAAUCGCUGUGAUUUUGCCCGGCACCCAAACAUAGAGUUUAGGCUGUUGUAAAUGGGUAAAGCAUGUCUUGCGAUGCGAUGACGCAAAAGGUUAACGGUCUGGGAUCUGGGAUGUAAACAAGCAGAUAGAGGAAAAUAG
ensembl:lncRNA